UGCAGAGGGGGCAAGCGUUAUUCGGAAUUAUUGGGCGUAAAGGGCGCGUAGGCGGCUUUGCAAGCGACGGGUGAAAUCCCUCGGCUUAACCGAGGAACUGCCUGUCGAACUGCUUUGCUUGAGGCCGGGAGAGGUGAGUGGAAUUCCCAGUGUAGCGGUGAAAUGCGUAGAUAUUGGGAGGAACACCAGUGGCGAAGGCGGCUCACUGGACCGGUUCUGACGCUGAGGCGCGAAAGCGUGGGUAGCAAACAGG
rnacentral:rRNA from 1 species